rnacentral:lncRNA from 1 species
CUACGUGGGGGAGUCUUGUUAAGACUGAGCCCUUAACCUGUGGAAUCUGAUGCUAUCUCUAGGUAGGUAGGACAGAAUAGACAUCCUGCUGGUGUCUGAGAAUUGAUUGUUGGUGUGGGUGGAACUCUCCAGCCUCACACGGGAAACUGACUCUCAGAACACACAACAUAGACUCUGAAGUUGAUUUUCCCUUGAUUUUCCUUCUGUCCUGGAAGAAAUUUUACACCAGGUUUGUACCAUCCUUCCAGCCUUAUUUUCCACUUGUGAUGUGGUAAAAAGAGAUCCGAACUGUGAGACAGGGGACUGCAUUUAAAUCUGAGUGUUUUGUGGCAGAUUCAUUUCGAUAUUUGGCAAAACUAAUACAAUAUUGUAAAGUUUAAAAAUAAAAUAAAAAAAAUAAAUCUGAGUGUUGCUACU